rnacentral:rRNA from 1 species
UACGGAGGGUGCGAGCGUUGUCCGGAAUCAUUGGGCGUAAAGGGCGCGUAGGUGGCCCGGUCAGUUCGUGGUGAAAGCGCGGGGCUCAACCCUGCGUCGGCCAUGAAUACUGCCGCGGCUGGAGCACUGUAGAGGCAGGCGGAAUUCCGGGUGUAGCGGUGGAAUGCGUAGAGAUCCGGAAGAACACCGGUGGCGAAGGCGGCCUGCUGGGCAGUUGCUGACACUGAGGCGCGACAGCGUGGGGAGCAAACAGGGAUU